ACGUGGCUGAAAAAUAAAAUAAAAUAAAAUAAAUUAUUUACUCUGUGCGCGUUUCCUUUUUAUAUCACAUUUAUUAUUAUAUAUCUCUUAUAUGUGUAUUAUACUUUUAGAAUAUUUCUCUCUUGGAACUCCGUUUGUAUGUAUGUGUAAUAAGUAAGGAAAUAAUGUCGAUGAAAGGGAGAGAAAGAGGAAAACGUGUUUCACUUCUGUUUCGGGCUGCUUUCGACCGUACGAUAUCAGGCAUAUGAAUCAAGGCCAAGCGUCCCGCAAUAAAAAGCCUCGCAAUGAAAACGCGAUUGGCCGAUUAGACCGCUAAGGACACGAGACUGGAUCACGGAACAUUACGAAAGGCAUGAUUGGUAAUCGCUGUCAUUUUCUUCUUUCUUUUUUAAUCGUGCACGAAUUCUGCAGUCUACGCCAUGCAUAAUCAAAGCGAAAACAAAAUUCUAGAUCUAUAAUUAUCCAUGUUGUAACUCGAUGAUUUAAUUUGUGGUCGAAUCCGGAGAGAACAAAAUCUAUUGUUUAGCAUUCUAUCUUGAAUGGAGCUCACUUUCACCGAUUUGUAAUACAAGACAAAAUUAUGUUUGGAGCUUUGAUUUGUGUGAUAUGCAAAAAUGCGAAGAGAAUCUCUCAAGAUUGUAGAAAAUUAAAAGAUUAUACUUUUCUGCUUUUUUUCUUAACGAAGAUGCAUCUGGAAAGAACAAUUUUGUUGCAUUAUCCAAAAAUUUAGAUAGAUAGAGAUCUGAAGAUAAUUUUGAUCAUUAAAAUAAUUACGAAAGACGAAUAAUACGAAUAAUUAUGAAAGAUCAUUAAAAUAAUUAUGAAUAAUUAUGAAUUAUGAAAUAAAUAUUUAUUCAACUAUAACGAACAAUACUGCAAAACAUUUUAACAUUCCAACAAUUAGUUUGACCGUCCUACGUAAUUACUUUGACGAUUUAACAAAAUUGUUUUUGAAUCUGUACCCAGCUAAAUUUUGGGACAUUUUAGCAAAAUUGUUCCUUUCGUGCAUGAUUUCGUUGAGUGCACGAUUCAUUAAGGCAAAUAACGUAUCAAUAAUCGUUCACGGUUGCAACGCCGCUCUGUUAUUAUAAGCAGCGAAAAGAAUAAUUACAUCUUUCUCUCGUGUUACGAGUCAUUGCACGUCAUUUAAUUCAAAGUAAUAAACUUCGCGCUUCACAGGAAGGUGCAUUUCACUCACUUUCAUUAGGGAUAGAAAGGGAGAAAUGAACAAAUAUCUAACAAUAGCGUCGAAAAUAUUAGCAUAGCCACCGGUAGCACUUUCUUCCGAAAUGCGAAAACGCCCGAUGAAAGUUUUCCUUGUUGAGAAUUGUGACAAUUAGACACUAGCAGUUACCGUAAAAGAAUCCCUGAAAUUCUCCGUCUGCAUUUGGACAACGGGAAGAAGAAUCGGUCGACAGGCAAGACCUUUCACAGACGUAUAUCGCAUAAUUUACGGAAAAACGUGUCGACAUUGCGGCGGUUUUGUGUGGUACUCCACGUUCAAUGGAGCGAAGAAUCGCACGUAAUGUUGUACGGUCGAUGUGGUAAGAGGGUAAUUGUACGUGUAGCCGCCGCGUGGAUUGUCAUCUUUGACUCGCGAAUAACUACCUUUGCCGACUUUCUAUUGUCACUCAAUACAAUUAAAUCCCUUAGAUCCUUAUUAUUCGACAAGGCCGAGGCAGGCCGCGUUGCGUGACGAAAACAGUUCAUAGCUCAUCUUGAAGCAUAGUGAUGAGACACCUGCGACACUGUGCACGUACACGCACCAAACCGAUUACUCUAAUCUUCUUUCAGGAAACAAAUAGAAUUUGAGAAAAUUCAGAGGACUCGCGAGAUUUAACAAAUCAAAAGAGAGGGCUAAUGCGAGUCAAAUGCGGUUGCUAAUGCGUAUAAAAAAUUCGUGUUUACUAAUCUUCCAUUUAAAAGCUUUAGAACGUUUCGACCCGAGUUUGGGUCAUCCUCAGCGAUAAUUUACGAUAAUCACGGCUUACAAUAAUCGAGGCUGAUUAUUGUAAAUUAUCGCUGAGGACGAUCCAAAGUCGGGUCGAAACGUUCGAAAGCUUUUAAAUGGAAGAUUAAUAAACAUGAAUUUUUUAUACGAACUAACAACAGCGUUCGACUCGCAUUAGCCCUCUCUCUUGAUUUGUUAAACAGAAUUUGCUGAUGCGUGCCAAAUUAUAAUGACGGCCUGAAGAGAUUGCGUUAGAACCAGAUUCACAUGCAAGAAAACUUGAUGUGUCGCUUUAUGAUUCUUUAAUCAUCAGAGCUGGGCAAAGCGUAUUUCAAAUACAAAAUACAAAAAUAUCGGAAGACUCACCGUUGGAGAAUCCCAGGCAUCGCCGCAGAUACCGCAUUUCCCUUUGUUCCGUUGCCACUGCCUGGUGAAGCCGCCGCAAUAGCACUCGUGGUCGUUGUAAUCGUGAGGUGUGUC